rnacentral:rRNA from 1 species
GACGAACGCUGGCGGCGCGCUUAACACAUGCAAGUCGAACGGAAAGGCCUGCUUUCCCUUGUGGAUUGCGGGUACUCGAGUGGCGAACGGGUGAGUAACACGUGAGUGAUCUGCCCCCAACUUGGGUAUAAGCCUGGGAAACUGGGUCUAAUUCCCGAUAGGACUGCAGGGUGGUGCCUGUGGUGGAAAACGAUUUUCUAGUGGUUGGGGAUGAGCUCGCGGCCUAUCAGCUUGUUGGUGGGGUAAUGGCCUACCAAGGCGGCGACGGGUAGCCGGCCUGAGAGGGUGGACGGCCACAGUGGGACUGGGAUACGGCCCAGACGCCUACGGGAGGCAGCGGUGGGGAAUAUGGGACAAUGGGCGGAAGCCUGAUGCAGCGACGCCGCGGGGGGGAUGACGGCCGUCGGGUUGUAAACUCCUUGCGACCGCGAGGAAGCCACCUGGUUGGAAGGGUGGUGACGGUAGUGGUAGAAGAAGCACCGGCUAACUACGUG